rnacentral:rRNA from 1 species
GAUGAACGCUGGCGGCGUGCCUAAUACAUGCAAGUCGAGCGAACAGAUAAGGAGCUUGCUCCUUUGACGUUAGCGGCGGACGGGUGAGUAACACGUGGGUAACCUACCUAUAAGACUGGGAUAACUUCGGGAAACCGGAGCUAAUACCGGAUAAUAUUUCGAACCGCAUGGUUCGAUAGUGAAAGAUGGUUUUGCUAUCACUUAUAGAUGGACCCGCGCCGUAUUAGCUAGUUGGUAAGGUAACGGCUUACCAAGGCGACGAUACGUAGCCGACCUGAGAGGGUGAUCGGCCACACUGGAACUGAGACACGGUCCAGACUCCUACGGGAGGCAGCAGUAGGGAAUCUUCCGCAAUGGGCGAAAGCCUGACGGAGCAACGCCGCGUGAGUGAUGAAGGUCUUCGGAUCGUAAAACUCUGUUAUUAGGGAAGAACAUACGUGUAAGUAACUGUGCACGUCUUGACGGUACCUAAUCAGAAAGCCACGGCUAACUACGUGCCAGCAGCCGCGGUAAUACGUAGGUGGCAAGCGUUAUCCGGAAUUAUUGGGCGUAAAGCGCGCGUAGGCGGUUUUUUAAGUCUGAUGUGAAAGCCCACGGCUCAACCGUGGAGGGUCAUUGGAAACUGGAAAACUUGAGUGCAGAAGAGGAAAGUGGAAUUCCAUGUGUAGCGGUGAAAUGCGCAGAGAUAUGGAGGAACACCAGUGGCGAAGGCGACUUUCUGGUCUGUAACUGACGCUGAUGUGCGAAAGCGUGGGGAUCAAACAGGAUUAGAUACCCUGGUAGUCCACGCCGUAAACGAUGAGUGCUAAGUGUUAGGG